CAUCAGAACCUGACCAUGCUGGCACUUUGAUCUCAGACUUCUAGCCUCCAGACUGUGAGAAAAUGGAGGCUCAGAAAGGCUAAAGCGUUUGCUGAAGAUCAUACACAGCUGGUCAAGUGUGCUGGCCCAUCUGCAGCCCCCUUGAUGUGUGCUGAGCACUGCUUAACUAUUAAAACACAUGUUUUAACACAUGUGUUCACUAGUUCCUUAUACCCAUUCUGGUUCAUGGAGGUGUGUGAACAUCAGGACCAAGGCCACCUGACAAUCACAGGGGGACCUGAGAUCAGCUUAGCAACCAGUGACCCCAGGAACGUCUCCCUUCAGUCUGGUGUCUGGUUUGGAUCUGGUCAGAUGAACCAUGUCUCCUGGCUAGCUGACAACCCACAGGAG